UGAGAACCAUGCUGAGAAUUUGAUGGAGUGGAAAAAGUAAAGGUUCAGAGAUCGCCUUCUGAAGAGGAAUGUUAUGUUGGAGGCUCCAUGAUUGAAGUAAAUUAAGAGGAAAAGCUGCCUGACAAUAAGUAGUUCCACGGUCUGACAUCAAAAUAUCUUCCAUCAAAACCAUGUCAUUUUCAUCCACCCUUGCUACUGUCCAAACUAAUCUGUUACCUGACUUUUGGGCCACUGCUGAAGACACAUAAGAGAUUCUAAUUAUGGGAAAAGUGUUUGGUUUAUGCAGCUUAAACAAAAUUAGAAGUGAAGUAUUUUAUUGAU